GCGGCCGAUCAGCUGAUUUUGGUCAUUUUGAACAUAUUCGACACCGCCUCUCUCGCUGCCCCAGCGCCUCCCCGGGCCCGGGCAGGGGCUGGGUGACCUUUCUUAUACCCAGUGACACCUUUUGGUCUGCUUUUUCAGGUCUUUGGCACAUUAGAGGGGUGACCCACGACCCCUCGUGGCUCAGAGUGUUGUCUUUUAUGCUACUGAAGACAACUCAACGGUCACCUACCUUGGCCGACGACGUGGAGGCUGUCCGGGAGCCUUAACUCAG